UUUCUCUUUUUAAACCCUCGUCAUCAACUGAUCAUAACGGAAAUCAAUCCCCUCAAGUCACCAAGCAAAGGCGUAUCCAUGGCAACCUCAAGAGGAAGGACACAGAAAUGAUGCUCCAGUGGCUGCAGCAGGAAAAGGGCUGAAAAGCACUUAUAAGAGUGCCUGGUAUGACACAUUCAAUAAAUGCCAGCCAUAAUUAUUAUGAAGAAGAGGAAAAGAGAGACCUCAGUGCAGGAUUCAAGUUCAGAGGUGCCAACCUGAGGCCUUGUCUGAUAGGGACCAUGAACAAGACUCCAAAGACCCUAAAACUCCAAUUUGUAUGACUAGAGCCCAUCCUUCCAAUCCCUGAUACUGAACAGAGAAGAACAUCUGCGUUCAUUUGGGUAGACUUCUAGGCACUUCAGAAAAUGGGGAGGAACCAAGAGGGAAAAAACUCCCCUUGAAAAAAGUUCAAAGGACUCAUUUGAAAAGACCUGACACUGGGAAAGAUUGAAGGCAGGAGGAGAAGGAGACGACAGAAGAUGAGAUGGUUGGAUGGCAUCACCAACUCAAUGGACAUGAGUUUGAGUAAACUCUGGGAGUUGGUGAUGGACAGGGAGGCCUGGCAUGCUGCGGUCCAUGGGGUCGCAAAGAGUUGGACAUGACUGAGCGACUGAACUGAACUAAAAAAGGAAUGCUGUUUCCAGGAGGGAGGAAGUGGUUUUUCAGGCUGAGACAUGGAGAAGGGAUAAGAUAAAGGCAGAGAGCAAAUCAAAGGUGGCAAAGUCAGGUAUGGCGGAGGACAGAUGCAGAGAAGAGAAGCAUCUACAUUAGUUAUACUGCUGCUGCUGCUGCUAAGUUGCUUCAGUCGUGUCCAACUCUGUGCGACCCCAUAGACGGCAGCCCACCAGGCUCCCGUCCCUGGGAUUCUCCAGGCAAGAACACUGGAGUGGGUUGC